rnacentral:lncRNA from 1 species
UGGGAAUAAGAAUAAACCUUAAAGCCAUCAUUAACCACAAUGACAGUGGCAGCAGCAGAGGUCCUUAAAAUGUAAACUUUGCACACCCAACCAUACUUGGUGGAAGAAGUCGAUGGAAAACAUUCUUCUAAGGACCAAGGCUGGGAUAUGCCACUUCCAUGAGCCAGUGCCCUGAAGCUUCACUCUGAGCAUAACAAGCAGAGUCCCUCUGGUCC